GCAGUGGUGAUUCAGUGGUAGGAUCCUCGCCUUCUAUGUGGGAGACCGGGUUCAAUUCCCAGCCACUGCA
rnacentral:tRNA from 1 species